GACUCCUGAGCUAUGUUGCCUCCUCAUUUGAACUCCAUUCUUCUUCUCUUCUUGUAGAUCAUCAAUGUUGUCCUCUUGUUUCUAUCAACAUGUUUUUCUUCAGCUUUCAAGAAGGGAGCUCUUCUUUGAUUGUUGAAUCUCAUCACUGGGUAAUUUUUCUCUUGCUUCCUUUCCGACUUCUCCAAAACAUCAGACUCCAUCAUUUAUACAGGUAAAAUCGUUGUGAAGUGCAAGGGAAGCUUCACGCUUUUGCCCUAUAGUGGUGUAUUCACUAAUUAGGUUUCCAUAUUCUAAACCAACCCUAGCUCUUCCCAUUUUGCCAAGUCCUUUUGAAGGCUGAAAUAGCCUAGACUAGAUAGGAUUUCACUCUUUUGUUGCCAAAGAGGCAUUUGUAAUUAAUUAGCUGCAAAAAACUGUAUCCUUUAGCCUUGUUCGCCCUAUUAUCCUUUGAUGGAUGAAACUCUUAAGUAAGGGCUCUGUAAUUUAUCACUGUUGACUAUUCUCCUUCCUGCAGAUUCCAUCAUGUGAAAAUAUUUAUAGUUGCAGUUAUUUGUAUCCAAAACAUGAUUAGCUAGA